rnacentral:ncRNA from 1 species
UAGAACAUGGCUCAAUUCUUUAUGCUGAAGGUAGAGGGACGUCUGAUUCCUCUUCGACUUAGCCAUAUCGUUUCAGAGUUCAUCGCACGCCUACCCCAGGACAUUUUACCCCCGGGUAUAUAACCUUCGACCGACCUUACACCGCAACURGAACAUGGCUCAAUUCUUUAUGCUGAAGGUAGAGGGACGAAGCGAGUAGUGGUAUUUCGCGAAUUGUAAUUUCAGCACGAGCGGGGUUAAAUCCUUUGCAGACGACUUAGAUGUGCGAAAGGGUCCUGUAAGCAGUAGAGUAGCCUUGUUGUUACGAUCUGCUGAGGGUAAGCCCUCCUUCGCUUUUCA